AAACACCUAGCAGCAGAUACAGACAGCCAGAGGGGGUGGGGUAACCUUGAUUGGUCGAAGUAAGCUGUUGUAGUCGCUCUCUCGCUCCAACUCACUCCGACUCACUGCUCCUGCUUUUACCAGUAGUAAUAUAAUAAUUUGUCUGUCUGCGGCUCAGGAGCAGUGAGGAAAAUGAAGCUGCAACAAUUUGCUCACACAACAAGCAGAAGAGGGAAGAAAAAUUGAUGAAUGUUAUAAAUUGAGUUUAACAGUGAUUACCCCAUCAGAACAAAUAUCCCAACCCCGCCUUCCUCUUGUCUUCGUUGCUGCUCUAUCACUUUCCUCGCCCUAAUUUCUCUCUAACUAAUCUAUCUUCCAAGGAAAGUAUUUACCUCCUCGUUCCUCUCUCUUCUUCUUCUUAACUGCUUAUGGAAAUGACACCGUCAUCGGAGAUUUGUAGUGUUAAGGUUGCGCUUCAUAUACGACCCCUUAUUGCCGACGAGCGUCUUCAAGGUUGUAAAGAUUGUGUUUCUGUUGUUCCUCGACUACCUCAGGUACAAAUUGGGACACAUUCAUUUACAUUUGAUCAUGUCUAUGGAAAUGGUGGCGCAGAGCCAUCUGCCAUGUUUGAACAAUGUGUUGCUCCACUUGUUGAUGGAUUGUUCCAAGGAUACAAUGCCACGGUUCUUGCGUAUGGUCAGACGGGAUCGGGGAAGACAUAUACUAUGGGAACUGGCUUCAAAGAUGGUUGCCAUACUGGACUGAUUCCUCAAGUUAUGGGUGCAUUAUUCAACAAGAUUGAAACACUGAAGCAUCAAACGGAAUUCCAAUUGCAUGUGUCCUUCAUAGAGAUCUUAAGGGAAGAAGUGAGGGACUUGCUGGAUUCUGCAUCUGAGAGUAAAUCAGUGGUUGCUAAUGGACAUGCUGGGAAAGUUGCAGUUCCUGGGAAGUCUCCAAUACAAAUUCGUGAAGCAUCGAAUGGAGUUAUAACUCUAGCAGGAUCAACUGAAGUAGCUGUCAGUACAUUGCAAGAAAUGGCAGCGUGCUUGGAGCAAGGAUCAUUAUGUAGGGCAACAGGAAGUACAAAUAUGAAUAACCAGUCCAGUCGCUCGCAUGCCAUAUUCACGAUCACAUUAGAACAGAUGCGCAAACUCCAUUCAGUUUCUCCUGUUAAUGACACUCCAGAUGAGGAUAUGGGUGAAGAGUAUUUCUGUGCAAAGCUCCAUUUGGUAGAUCUAGCUGGAUCUGAACGAGCAAAAAGAACUGGUACUGACGGUCUUCGUUUGAAAGAAGGUAUUCACAUUAAUAAGGGGCUUCUUGCACUUGGUAAUGUCAUCAGUGCUUUGGGGGAUGAAAAAAAACGAAAAGAAGGCAUGCAUGUUCCCUACCGAGACAGUAAACUGACCCGACUCUUACAGGAUUCUCUUGGUGGAAACAGCAAAACUGUUAUGAUAGCUUGCAUCAGUCCUGCUGACAUCAAUGCUGAGGAGACUCUCAACACUCUCAAAUACGCAAACCGUGCACGCAAUAUUCAAAAUAAGCUAGUUGCUAAUAGAGAUUUAAUAUCCAAUGAGAUGCAACAGAUGCGCCAACAGUUAAAGUACUUGCAGGCAGAACUUUGUGCUCGUGGGGUUAGAGCUGCUUCAGAUGAAGUACAGGUUCUCAGGGAAAGGAUUGCUUGGCUUGAGGCUACAAAUGAGGACCUUUCUCGAAAACUUCAUGAAUACCGGAGCCGAUGUGCUAUUACAGAGAAGUGUGAAAUUGAUGCUUAUGAGGGGCAUGCCACUUCUGCAAAAAGUGAUGGACUUAAGAGGAACUUUCAGAGUAUGGACUCAUCUGAUGAGUAUUAUAUGGAUGAAGGAAUAUCAGGUGAUAGCUCUGGGGAAAUUGAUGAAGCAGCAAAAGAAUGGGAGCACACACUUGUACAAAGCACCAUGGAUAAAGAAUUGAAUGAGCUGAACAAACGUUUGGAGCAAAAAGAGUCUGAGAUGAAACUUUUUGGAGGGGUUGACACUGAAGUUCUGAAGCAGCAGUUCAGGAAGAAAAUUUUGGAACUCGAGGAAGAGAAAAGAACUGUUCAGCAAGAGAGGGAUCAUUUAUUGGUUGAAAUUGAGAACCUUGCUGCCAAUUCUGAUGGACAAGCACAGAAAACACAAGAUAUUCAUUCUCAGAAAUUAAAAGCACUUGAGGCACAGAUUUUAGAUCUUAAAAAGAAACAAGAAAGCCACUUCGAGCUUUUGAAGCAAAAACAAAGAAGUGAUGAAGCAGCGAAUAGGUUGCAAGCUGAAAUACAAUAUAUCAAGGCUCAAAAGGUUCAGUUGCAACACAAGAUAAAACAAGAAGCAGAACAAUUUCGACAAUGGAAGGCCAGUCAAGAGAAGGAAUUGCUGCAGCUAAGAAAGGAGGGCAGGAGAAAUGAGCAUGAGAGGCAUAAGCUUGAAGCCCUGCAUCAACGUCAGAAAAUGGUUCUUCAAAGGAAGACAGAGGAGGCGGCAAUGGCUAGCAAAAGGCUAAAGGAGUUGUUGGAAGCCCGCAAGUCUUCACCACGUGAGAGUUCAGCUAAUUCCAAUGGACAUUUAUCGCCUGGGCAGGGCAAUGAAAAAUCCUUAAGAAGAUGGCUUGAUCACGAGCUUGAAGUAGUGGUGAAAGUGCAUGAAGUUCGUCUUCAACAAGAGAAGCAAAAACAAGAACAUGCUGCACUAGCAGAGGAGUUAGCCUUGUUGAAACAAGUGAACCAGCUCUCUCCAAAUGGAAGUAGUCCGCAAGAAGGAAAGAAUGGACAUAGACAUGCUAGAUUGACAUUGAUGUCACCAAAUGCAAGAAUGGCUAGAAUUGCUUUUUUGGAGAACAUGCUGAGAGUAUCUGCAAGUGCCCUAGCAACAAUGGCUUCACAACUUUCGGAAGCAGGAGAAAGAGAGCGUACCUUUAUUGGUCGUGGACAUUGGAACCAAAUACGUUCAAUGGGAGAAGCUAAGAACCUGCUUCAGUAUAUGUUUACUGCAGCUGCAGAUGAUAGAUGCCGAUUGUGGGAAAAGGAUAUGGAAAUCAAGGAAAUUAAAGAUGAAUUGAAUGAUCUUUUGAUCUUACUAAGACAAAGUGAGAUCCAGAGGAAGGAACUUCUGAAGGAGCAAAAGAUGAGAGAACAAGCUGUUGCAAUUGCCUUUGCCUCAUCAGCUUCGGAUAGCUCACACAGUUCUUCGAAGCAUUAUGCAGACGACAUGAGUGGUCAUUUGUCUCCAAUGUUGCUUCCAGCGCCAAAGCAACUAAAAUUUACACCUGGGAUUGUUAAUGGGCCUGCUAGAGAAUCGGUGGCAUUUCUAGACCAGAUGGGAAAGAUAGUACCGGUUGGACAUUUGUCAAUGAAGAAAUUGGCAGCUUUAGGGCAAACUGGAAAACUCUGGCGAUGGAAGAGGAGUCAUCAUCAGUGGCUGCUUCAGUUCAAAUGGAAGUGGCAGAAACCAUGGAAGCUCUCAGAGUGGAUCAAACACAGUGAUGAAACAAUCAUGAGGUCAAGGCCUCGCUCACAGGCUCUGGUUGCUAUGAUAUGACCACCACAUGCUGUACAUAUAUCUUGCUUGCUUAUAUGAUCUGACUCAUGGUUGAGUGAAACUCAUGCGAGUAGAGGCUGUUGUACAUUGGCAAAGAUGUUACUAUAGAGAGAGAAUGGGAAAUUACUGAUGCCGUCUUAAAUCAUGACAUCUGCAUCUUCUCAUGCUGAUGGGUUAACUGAAAUUUUGGAAAAUGGCUGAAGGUUUGAGCAACUGAGCAUGUGUGCAUGAUAGAAGAUUUUGAUGCUGUGCUUCAGGAUGUGGAUUUUUCCUGUUAAUCUAUUGAGUUUAUUGCUAUUAAAAAAAAUAAUAAGAGGAAAUGUUUCCUUUCAUUGUAGGUUGUUUCCAGUUUGCCUGUACAUGUUACGAUUUAGUUAAAGAGAUAUAAAUGAAGAGUAGUUUUUCCGUCUAGCA